rnacentral:rRNA from 1 species
GAAGUGUCGCGUAUAGGCGUUGCUGUCCGGUAUGAUUGCUGUCUGAAGUUUGCUGGAAAGCCUCUUCCAGAGAGGGUGUUAGACCCGUUCGGACGGUGAACGUGCCGGUAGGUGGCGUCUUGGAGUCGAGUUGCUUGAGAGUGCAGCUCUAAGUGGGUGGUAUACCACAUCUAAGGCUAAAUACGAUCACUAGACCGAUAGCAAACAAGUACCGUGAGGGAAAGUUGCAAAGAACUUUGAAGAGAGAGUUCAAGAGGACGUGAAACCACAAGGGAGGAAACAGAUAGAGUUGACGAAUGUACUGACGAUCAACGUUGUUCACGGUUCGUACUGCCGACGUGCUCCUGAUAAGGGGUGCCCGGUAGUGAUUUUGAGCUGUGGGCAGUGUGCUUUCGUUGGUGCAAUGCUGGAACGUUCGGUAUCCCCUUCUGAAUGGUUGGGCGUAGCCCGCAUUACGCGGUCACUUGUCCUUCCAGGAGGUUGAUGUGGAGACUGAACGGAUUGUCGGGGCAAAGCCUUUGCGCCUUGUCUGUUGUCGCUCGUUCGGUACGUUGUGAGUGGCUUGCCAUGAGCAGCGCUGUCGGGCCUGUGGCGAUAGGCGAAGCGUUUGUCCGAUUCCGGUGUGAAAGUCGAUCACCUAUCUGACCCGUCUUGAAACACGGACCAAGAAGUCUAGUAUGUGCGCGAGUCAAUGGGUUUGAAACCUACUGGCGUAAUGAAAGUAAAGGUCACUUUUGUGUGGCUGAUAUGUGAUCCGUGGCUUCGGUCGCGGCGCAACAUAGCCCCAUGCGUGCUGCUUGCAGUGGUGUGGAGGUAGAGCGUACAUACUAGGACCCGAAAGAUGGUGAACUAUGCCUGAGCAGGAUGAAGCCAGAGGAAACUCUGGUGGAGGUCCGAAGCGAUUCUGACGUGCAAAUCGAUCGUCUGACUUGGGUAUAGGGGCGAAAGACUAAUCGAACCAUCUAGUAGCUGGUUCCCUCUGAAGUUUCCCCCAGGAUAGCUGAAGCUUAAUGUUGUUAUAUUCGGUAAAGCAAAUGAUUAGAGGAAUUGGGGACGCAAUGUUCUCAACCUAUUCUCAAACUUUCAAUGGGUACGAAGUUGCAGUUGCUCAAGUGAACCGCGACCUCGAAAACAAGCUUCAAGUGGGCCAUUUUUGGUAAGCAGAACUGGCGAUGUGGGAUGAACCGAACGUUAAGUUAAGGUGCCUAACUUCCCGCUCAUGAGACCCCAUAAAAGGCGUUGGUUGAUAUAGACAGCAGGACGGUGGCCAUGGAAGUCGGAAACCGCUAAGGAGUGUGUAACAACUCACCUGCCGAAUCAACUAGCCCUGAAAAUGGAUGGCGCUAGAGCGGGAGACCUAUACUUGACCGUUGUUGGCUUGCACUGACUCAUUGUCUUGCCUCAACGAGUAAGAGGGUUGCAGCGGUUUGCGUCGAAGGCUUAGGGCGUAGGCCCGGCUGGAGCUACCGUUGGUACAGAUCUUGGUGGUAGUAGCAAAUAUUCAAGUGAAAUCCUUGAAGACUGAAGUGGAGAAGGUUUCCACGUGAACAGUAGUUGAAUGUGGGUUAGUCGAUCCUAAGAUACUGGCUAAUGCCUUGUAUCACUAUGAGGGAGAAACUUUUGCUUCUUCCUCGGUUAUCGAAAGGGUAAUAGGUUAAUAUUCCUAUACCUGGAUACGGAGAUUGGUUCCCGCAAGGGUUCCUUGAGCGGAAACGCAAACAAGCUCAGCGAUGCUGGGUAGAGUUCGAGCCAGAGAUCUCUUUUCUGGUUAAGGAUCAGACUCCCUGGAAACGGUUUAGCCGGAGAUAGGGACGUUGUAUCCGUAAAGCAUCACGGUUUCUGUGGUGUCUCGUGUACUCUGCCCGGCCCUUGAAAAGCUGAGUUCGUCAUUAAAUCUCGUACCAGAUCGUACCCAUAUCCGCAGCAGGUCUCCAAGGUGAAUAGCCUCUAGUCGAUAGAAUAAUGUAGAUACGGGAAGUCGGCAAAUUCGAUCCGUAACUUUGGGAAAAGGAUUGGCUCUAAGGACUGAGUCGUUCGGGCUCUGCAAUGAAACUUGUGCGGUAGCGUCUAUUAUUGGGUGCGCUCGUCGUGCUCGAUAUAAUGGGUGUUACUGUCUUGUGGACUUGCUUAGCUUUGUGCAGUGGGCUUGCCUGCUGUACGUCGGGCGGCGGUUGACAGUCAACUUAGAACUGGUACGGACUCGGGGAAUCCGACUGUCUAAUUAAAACAGAGGAAACAGAUGGUCCUUGUGGACGUUGACUGUUUCUGAUUUCUGCCCAGUGCUCUGAAUGUUAAUGUGGCGAAAGUCAAAUAAGCGCGGGUAAACGGCGGGAGUAACUAUGACUCUCUUAAGGUAGCCAAAUGCCUCGUCAUCUAAUUAGUGACGCGCAUGAAUGGAUUAACGAGAUUCCCACUGUCCCUAUCUACUAUCUAGCGAAACCACAGCCAAGGGAACGGGCUUGGAAAAAACAGCGGGGAAAGAAGACCCUGUUGAGCUUGACUCUAGUUUGACUUUGUGACGAGUCUUGAGAGGUGUAGUAUAAGUGGGAGACUUCGGUCGCAAUUGAAAUACCACUACUUUCAUCGAUUCUUUACUUAUUCGGUAAUACGAGGAUUGAGCUUCGGCUCUUCCUUAUGGCGUUAAGCGCUUUCACUCGGUGAUUGCGUGACUCGGACCGAAAACAUUGUCAGACCGGGAGUUUGACUGGGGCGGUACAUCUAUCAAAUCGUAACGUAGGUGUCCUAAGGUUGGCUCAGAGAGGACGGAAACCUCUCGUUGAGCAAAAGGGCAAAAGCCCGCUUGAUCUAGAUUUUCAGUACUAAUACAGACCGCGAAAGCGUGGCCUAUCGAUCCUUAAAGUCUUGAUGGUUUCAAGCUUGAGGUGUCAGAAAAGUUACCACAGGGAUAACUGGCUUGUGGCAGCCAAGCGUCCAUAGCGACGUUGCUUUUUGAUCCUUCGAUGUCGGCUCUUCCUAUCAUUGCGAAGCAGAAUUCGCCAAGCGUUGGAUUGUUCACCCACUAAUAGGGAACGUGAGCUGGGUUUAGACCGUCGUGAGACAGGUUAGUUUUACCCUACUGUUGACAUGUUGUUGCGAUAGUAAUCCUACUUAGUACGAGAGGAACCGUAGGUUCAGACAAUUGGUUUAUGCGGCUAGCCGAUAGGCUAAUGCUGCGAAGCUACCAUCUGCUUGAUUAUGACUGAAAGCCUCUAAGUCAGAAUCGAACCUAGUAGUUCGAACGAUAACUUGCUUCCCGGCUUCGGGAGGUUAGACUAUGUGGUCGCAAGAUCACAGCUUAUGCCCUAUUCUAGACCUUGCUCGAUGGAGGAAUUCCAUUGGGUUGUCUGGCCGGAUUACUCCGGUUUCAAUGUCGGGGCGUUAAAUCAAUUGUAUACGACGAUUGUACUGGUCAAGGUAUGUAAUCAGUAGAGC